rnacentral:rRNA from 1 species
AUUGAACGCUGGCGACAUGCCUUACACAUGCAAGUCGAACGGCAGCACGGGUGCUUGCACCUGGUGGCGAGUGGCGAACGGGUGAGUAAUACAUCGGAACAUGUCCUGUAGUGGGGGAUAGCCCGGCGAAAGCCGGAUUAAUACCGCAUACGAUCUACGGAUUAAAGCGGGGGACCUUCGGGCCUCGCGCUAUAGGGUUGGCCGAUGGCUGAUUAGCUAGUUGGUGGGGUAAAGGCCUACCAAGGCGACGAUCAGUAGCUGGUCUGAGAGGACGACCAGUCACACGGGAACUGGGACACGGCCCAGACUCCUACGGGAGGCAGCAGUGGGGAAUUUUGGACAAUGGGCGAAAGCCUGAUCCAGCAAUGCCGCGUGUGUGAAGAAGGCCUUCGGGUUGUAAAGCACUUUUGUCCGGAAAGAAAUCCUUGGCCCUAAUACGGUCGGGGGAUGACGGUACCGGAAGAAUAAGAACCGGCUAACUACGUG